rnacentral:rRNA from 1 species
UGGGGAAUAUUGGACAAUGGGCGAAAGCCUGAUCCAGCCAUGCCGCGUGUGUGAAGAAGGUCUUCGGAUUGUAAAGCACUUUAAGUUGGGAGGAAGGGCAGUAAGCGAAUACCUUGCUGUUUUGACGUUACCGACAGAAUAAGCACCGGCUAACUCUGUGCCAGCAGCCGCGGUAAUACAGAGGGUGCAAUCGUUACUCGGAAUUACUGGGCGUAAAGCGCGCGUAGGUGGUUCGUUAAGUUGAAUGUGAAAGCCCCGGGCUCAACCUGGGAACUGCAUCCAAGACUGGCGAGCUAGAGUAGGGCAUAGGGUGGUGGAAUUUCCUGUGUGGCGGUGAGAUGCGUAGGUAGAGGAAGGAACGCCAGUGGCGAAGGCGACCACCUGGGAUCAUACUGACACUGAGGUGCGAAAGCGUGGGGAGCAAACAGG